rnacentral:rRNA from 1 species
GAAUUCACUAGUGAUUCAGGCCUAACACAUGCAAGUCGAGCGGUAGAGAGAAGCUUGCUUCUCUUGAGAGCGGCGGACGGGUGAGUAAUGCCUAGGAAUCUGCCUGGUAGUGGGGGAUAACGUCCGGAAACGGACGCUAAUACCGCAUACGUCCUACGGGAGAAAGCAGGGGACCUUCGGGCCUUGCGCUAUCAGAUGAGCCUAGGUCGGAUUAGCUAGUUGGUGGGGUAAUGGCUCACCAAGGCGACGAUCCGUAACUGGUCUGAGAGGAUGAUCAGUCACACUGGAACUGAGACACGGUCCAGACUCCUACGGGAGGCAGCAGUGGGGAAUAUUGGACAAUGGGCGAAAGCCUGAUCCAAACGUGCCGCGUGUGUGAAGAAGGUCUUCGGAUUGUAAAGAACUGUAAGUUGGGAGGAAGGGCAGUAAAUUAAUACUUUGCUGUUUGACGUACCGACAGAAUAG